UACGGAGGGUGCAAGCGUUACUCGGAAUCACUGGGCGUAAAGCGCAUGCAGGCGGUCUAAUAAGUUGGAAGUGAAAGCCUAUGGCUCAACCAUAGAACUGCUUCCAAAACUGUUAGACUAGAGUCUGGGAGGGGAAGAUGGAAUUAGUAGUGUAGGGGUAAAAUCCGUAGAGAUUACUAGGAAUACCAAAAGCGAAGGCGAUCUUCUGGAACAGUACUGACGCUGAGAUGCGAAAGCGUGGGGAGCAAACAGGAUUAGAUACCCUGGUAGUCCACGCAGUAAACGAUGAAUGUUAGUCGUUGGUGUCCUAGAGACAUCAGUGAUGCAGUUAACACAUUAAACAUUCCGCCUGGGGAGUACGGUCGCAAGAUUAAAACUCAAAGGAAUAGACGGGGACCCGCACAAGUGGUGGAGCAUGUGGUUUAAUUCGAAGAUACGCGAAGAACCUUACCUAGCCUUGACAUAUUUAAGAACUCAGUAGAGAUACAGAGGUGCCUUCGGGAGCUUUAAUACAGGUGCUGCACGGCUGUCGUCAGCUCGUGUCGUGAGAUGUUGGGUUAAGUCCCGCAACGAGCGCAACCCUCGUCACUAGUUACUAACGAUUCGGUCGAGGACUCUAGUGAGACUGCCUUCGUAAGGAGGAGGAAGGUGAGGACGACGUCAAGUCAUCAUGGCCCUUACGGCUAGGGCAACACACGUGCUACAAUGGUUAGGACAAUGAGAAGCAAUAUCGCGAGGUGGAGCAAAUCUAUAAACCUAAUCUCAGUUCGGAUUGUAGUCUGCAACUCGACUACAUGAAGCUGGAAUCACUAGUAAUCGUAGAUCAGCUAUGCUACGGUGAAUACGUUCCCGGGUC
rnacentral:rRNA from 1 species